rnacentral:rRNA from 1 species
UACGUAGGGUGCGAGCGUUGUCCGGAAUUAUUGGGCGUAAAGAGCUCGUAGGUGGUUUGUCGCGUUGUUCGUGAAAACUCACAGCUCAACUGUGGGCGUGCGGGCGAUACGGGCGAGACUGAGUACUGCAGGGGAGACUGGAAUUCCUGGUGUAGCGGUGGAAUGCGCAGAUAUCAGGAGGAACACCAGUAGCGAAGGCGGCUCGCUGGGCCAUUCCUGACGCUGAGACGCGAAAGCCUAGGGGAGCGAACAGG